UACAUUGGAUAUGAAACGUUCAGGAGAAACACAUAUACGUUUGGUUUUAACGAAAGUCACGCUCGAACUACAAACAUCCUCUCUUUACCGACCUUUUUAAAGACAAACAAAGUGAUUCAUAAAACGAUUCGUUGGAAAUUGCCGGUGCUAGGACAAGACGCGACAAAUAUCGAUGCAUCGGUGUUUCAUUUCUUACAAAAUCGCAAAACAAAAAACAGGAAGCGUAGCUUAUCUAAACAUUCUUUACGUAACAAUAGCAAUUAACGUCCCUCGACCCGUAACUUAUAAUUAACUUCUUUCAGCUCGACAGCCAUGGAAUGCGUUGAAAUAUGUUGCAGUACAGUGGCUGGAAUCCGAAAGUACUCGAGUUUCUCCAUCGGUAUUUUUUAGUCUACACAACAUCAUCGCCAUCGGGAAAAGGUAAAGCACAUUACAACAUCAUUGAUCUUACCAUAUAGUUGAUGUAUUUGAAGUACAACGUAUUCAUGCUUUGAUCGACAAAAACGUUUUCUUUUUAUCGUUAGUACACACUCAAUGAAUUCCUAUUUUUUUUUUUACUCUGUUUUUUUCUUUUAUUUUUUUGUUUUUUAUUGCGAAUCCGGCAUCGCUGACUAGAUCCGAUAAUAGUUAUAAACUACAUCAGGGCCAUCAGUGUUCUGAUUAGUAGCAAUUAGACGAGCGGAGAGAUAGUAAUUAAUUCGAUGUUAUGACUCAAAGUAUAUGUAAUACUACGCCAAGGCCGUCAUAGAAACGGCACAUAAUGAUUAUAAGCAAGAAAUCAGAGCUCUGGAUGCAUGUUUAUAUUUCUGUAAAAUCUUAACGUGUCUAAUUAUUUCCUAGCGAUUAAUUUUUAAGAGUCGGCAACUUGUAUCUUUACGCAGAAGGAUCUGUUCGUCGAGAUGAAAGAGCGAAGAACGUAGGAUCUUUUUAAUCUUUCGACUCGCGCGUGUUAUUACACGUCAAUUGACUGAUAAAAUGGGAAAAAACCCAUUUGAAAAUUUAAUUUCUAAUCGAAACCGCUUCGAGCAAAUUUUGUCCAGUACAGCAUCUGAUUAAAAUGUUUUAAUUAAUGGAGAGCUUUUAAAUAUAAUACAUAUGUAUACAGUUUUUAUGAUAAAUUACGUUUCCAACUGGUAGGCGAUCGCGCGACAGUUUCUAAACCUUGAAAUUUGGACUUCUCGAUAACUUGUUAAUUUGAGCGUAUCUAUAUCUUUGCGACUAAUGUUAAGCUUGCAAAUUGUUUCGUCGCUUUGGCGAUAUCAUCGCUAUUAAAUGUAUCGUUGGCACGCGGUAAAAAACAGCACGAAGAUAUUAUGCUUGGUACGAAAAAUCCAAUUACUUUAUUACAUUACAUUACAUAUAUUUUUAUAUGUCAAGGAUUCAUAGCCUAAUUAAAUUUAAUUAUAUACCUAUAUAGCUUUGAACGCGAUUAAAUCGUAUUAAAUUAUGAUGGAUGAUGAUACGGCCGAAAUUGAAGAAAAGAAAGAAUAUGAAUGGAUCAAUGAAAGCUACAUAAUGUGGCCUUAGAACGAUGACUGAUUCGUGGCCCCAUUCAAGGUCAAUUCUUACUUAUAACGAUACUGUAUCACACGCUUUCGUCUGUCUAUAAUAUAAACGAACAAAUAGCUAAAUCACAUUCUAAACUACUUACUAAAACGAUAUAAUACCUAAGAUAUAAAAUAAACAUGAUACAAAUUAUUAUGGGUGGAAUGGCCGAAAAUAAUGUCAUUUUGUAGACAUUCGAAGAAUUCCGUCGUCAGGAAAGCAAUUUAUCGGAUAAAUUACUAUUAAAGUCCGGUAAAAUAUCAAGAAUGACGCCGGCGAAGUACGCUGAACCAACUAUAUGUCGGAGAGGAGUCAGGAACAGGGUUGUAGGCGUUUGAUAGACCUCCCUUGGAGUUGGCCAUCGUUGUGUGAUAACGAAGAUACGGCCUGAUGCUACGAGUAUGGACACUACCGAUUCGACAAUCAACGGCAGUGGUUGUGCACUUGCGAUGUUAGCGACGUUGGUCUUAGGUUCGAUGACGAAUCUACGGUCAACGGGAUGAACGAUAUACUUGCUCUAACUCGAACUCACUGAUCGUCAGGCGCUGCUCCCUUCGUUGGUGGGAUCUCAAGAAAGAAAGAAUUUUCAUCCCAAUGAUGCCACAGAGGAAAACUACGAUGGGGUGUGUCUAAGGACACGAGAUCAUCGGAUCCGUCGGGUAUAGCCCUGGUUCCGAAAGUAAAGGAAAUUGACGUCGCUGUCAAUUGGUCAGUUUAGGACAAAGACUGUCUAUCAGUUUGGAAAAUCUUAACUGCCGGAAAAACUCAGGUAUAGCGGGUCCUCGGGCUAACUGGACUUGUGCUGUGUACGUGCCUCAACAUCAGGCGAAGCGUCCGUCCCGUUGACCGCGGCUACGUUCGGCGACUGAUGGUCGCCUUGAGUCCAAGUUUAUUAUCACAAAUCGCAAACAAGUACAAUUGGGCAGGAUGACGGCAAAUUGUUUAAUUACGACUGUAAACUUUAAUUAAAAUUUUGCGGAUUUCCCCGAAGUUCCAGAGAGAAGGCUCCGGUGUCCUUUCAUCUCCGACAUAUAUUUACUUUUGUAAUUUUAAAAAGAUCACAGAGUUUUUGAUAUAUCAGCCUAGUAAAAUGUCUAUUUACGAAAAUCAGUAGAAGAUUUCAUUUUUAAUUUAAAUUUAGAAAUACCACGUUAUUUACGGGGAAACAAUGCUUUAGUGUCAACAAGAUGCUUGGAGCGAGGAUGCACGUUGCUGAUCGUUUGUACGACAGAAAAUAUUUGACCUUACGUGGUCGGGUCUUGAUAAGUUUAUUAUCUUUUCUCUUUUUUUCUACGCAAGCCUUAUCAAACAUUCCAUUCAACGUUAACUUUGAAAAAAAAAAAAAAAAAAAGAAAAAAAAUACUUGUUCAUAUCUACGUUCUCUGUAAUCAAUUUUAGCGACGCGUAUCGUCCGGAAGAAUCGAAUCUCUGUUGAUUUUUACACAAAGGAACGCUAUUAAUAAAUAUUAUUAAGUAACAGUAAAUAUUAAAAAUAAAUUGUGCUUUUACUUGGCCGCAAUGUUAAAUUAUAUAUCUUUAAAAAAAAAAACUUAUAUCUAUCGAUCUAACAAAUCUUAUUGCACGUGAUAUAGAAAUCAAGAAUUAGCAAAAAUUGGACUGGUUUUUUUAUUUCAGACAUGUAACCAUAACACGAGUAAAUGGGAAAUAAAUUAUAUUUAGAUUUCACUUCGAGGUGUAUAAAUUUUCCUUGAAUUUUCAUCGCGAUUUGCUAGAGCGGCACGACCUUUGACGACAUAAAAAUACGCAUCGCGUUGCACGCGUCCUCAAGGUCUCAUUAAAGGUAGUUUUUCAUGAGAUGUUGCGUCACGGUGUUUCGAAUUCAAACGUCUGCCACCUUCGACAAUUUUCUACCCAUGUCUGUUUUUAAAUCAAUUCACGUUCGUUGGCAUUCAUUUACAAAAGAAAACUUGGCGAAGGACAUCUGUAAAUUUUAUUCGACCAUGCCACGAACGAACGCAUAAUCGAAAGUUCGAGGAACAAGAGAGGCGAUAAGCCAUUGGCAACGAGAAUCGUAAAAUGAUCGACCAAAGCCACGUGGAGUUUGCUCGUGAACGCGCCAAGCGACGCGAUUUUAGUGAACGCUUAGGAAUUAGUUCGUGCGACGUCGCGUGAAAAUAAUCGGAAACCAUAGAUAACGAUGUUUGCAGAUAAUCUGUGGAAUUCGUGCAUAAUAAGACACAUGAGCAAACUGUUUGACCGAUAAAACGGUCGAUUAUAAUCUAGGGAUCUACACUAACGAGUAAACUUUACUUAUUCAAAUUUAAAAUUUGAAUGUUUACUUAGUCACAGAUAGGUACGUAUGCUGUAGCGUUAAGUGCGAUACACAAUGACGUUUAUUUAGUUAUAUAAAUAAAGUUGAAAGAAUUUUAUUUUGUAACGCAACAAGUUGGUAUGCAUAACGAUCCGAAGCUUUCAUUGCCGUUAUGAAAGAGAUUAUUCACACAGUCACUUUUCUCUGUGAUAAUUAAACCCGAGAAGUCUCGUUUCGUGAUCAUUCGAUUUAUAAUAAAUAAUAUCAGCAGCAGCAGCAUACUAUCUUCAUCUAGGUAAACUAGGCAUCCUACUUUUAAAGCGACGAGAGCUGACGAUCUUAUCGCAAGGUCAAUAAUACGUGCACUGUCGUUUAGCACGUGCUCGAGUGGUUACAUGCAUUUUGAGAAGCGUCGAAUCUCUCUGAAAUACUUUCCCAGCUAUCGAUUUAUUUAAAAUUAUUAUGUUGCGCACACCGAAGCAUAUAAAUACGCGUCUGUCGCUUCAAAUUAUUUUUCCCUUUUCGCUGUUAUUACUCUAUUAAACGUACUAAUUGCAUAAAAUUUACAAAUAUAUUGUUCAGUUUAGCCUUAUCAAAAAGUUUAGUAUAUCGGUAAACAAGAUCUCUGUUUCGUUCUUAAAUAACGAAUUAAUCGCUACACGUAUGGUUGAGCGUGUAAUAGAAAAAACUUGUACAGAACGAAUGUACCGACUUUCUAUGCAAGAAGGCAUUAAUGCCUGCGGAGAGCAUCUUCGAAUUUUCAAGGCGUUUCAAUGACCGGUUUCGAAGAAGUCGGUCAACGUAGCCGAUGAAGGGCACUCGAGGAAAAAACUAGUUACGAAAAAGUGGCACGAGCAGCGAGUUAACAAGCCACAGGGGCGACAUGUCGGACAUUGUUAGUUCCUAAUCCGGAUUAUCGACUUGUUCGUCGAAGAUCGCUUCCUUAUCUGAUGCUCGACAAACACUUGGAUAGUGUGCAAGAAAUGGCUGAUAAGAUAACGGAUCGAGUGGGCCCGUUUACUUACCUAGAGGAUGAAGUACGAAAGAGAGAGUGAGAAAGAACCAGACAAGAUGCGUCAAGUCGGUAACAACCUGCGGUAAAUGUGUCAAACAUCUCAAACAAUUUUUAUCGCAGGUAUCUUUACUCCGCGAAAGCAAAAAAAAAAAAAAAAAAAAGAAAAAAAAAGAAGAAAAUGAACAA